GAGGGUAUAGCUCAGUGGUUAGAGGGCAUGCUUAGCAUGCACAAGGUCCAGGGUUCAAUCUCCAGUACCUCCA
rnacentral:tRNA from 1 species